UUUCCCAACUUCGGUUAUAAGAUCCCUCAGAGAUGAUGAGGUUAAUAGGUUCGAGGUGGAAGCGUGGUGACACGUGGAGCUGACGAAUACUAAUCGAUCGAAGACUUAAUCAAUUU
rnacentral:rRNA from 1 species